AUCAGAUGUUGACUUGUGGAUUGA
rnacentral:siRNA from 1 species